rnacentral:rRNA from 1 species
GACGAACGCUGGCGGCGCGCCUAACACAUGCAAGUCGAACGGAGAUGCUAUAGUGAAGCUUUCGGGUGGAACGUUGGUAUUCUUAGUGGCGGACGGGUGAGUAACACGUGAGCAACCUGCCUUACAGAGGGGGAUAACAUCUGGAAACGGACGCUAAUACCGCAUAACAUUGAGGAGUCACAUGGCUUUUCAAUCAAAGAUUUUAUCGCUGUAAGAUGGGCUCGCGCCUGAUUAGAUAGUUGGUGGGGUAACGGCCUACCAAGUCGACGAUCAGUAGCCGGACUGAGAGGUUGAUCGGCCACAUUGGGACUGAGACACGGCCCAGACUCCUACGGGAGGCAGCAGUGGGGAAUAUUGCACAAUGGGGGAAACCCUGAUGCAGCGACGCCGCGUGAGGGAAGAAGGUUUUCGGAUUGUAAACCUCUGUCUUCAGGGACGAAAUUGACGGUACCUGAGGAGGAAGCUCCGGCUAACUACGUGCCAGCCGCCGCCGUAAGAC